rnacentral:rRNA from 1 species
AUUGAACGCUGGCGGCAGGCCUAACACAUGCAAGUCGAGCGGAUGAAGGGAGCUUGCUCCUGGAUUCAGCGGCGGACGGGUGAGUAAUGCCUAGGAAUCUGCCUGGUAGUGGGGGAUAACGUCCGGAAACGGGCGCUAAUACCGCAUACGUCCUGAGGGAGAAAGUGGGGGAUCUUCGGACCGCACGCUAUCAGAUGAGCCUAGGUCGGAUUAGCUAGUUGGUGGGGUAAAGGCCUACCAAGGCGACGAUCCGUAACUGGUCUGAGAGGAUGAUCAGUCGCACUGGAACUGAGACACGGUCCAGACUCCUACGGGAGGCAGCAGUGGGGAAUAUUGGACAAUGGGCGAAAGCCUGAUCCAGCCAUGCCGCGUGUGUGAAGAAGGUCUUCGGAUUGUAAAGCACUUUAAGUUGGGAGGAAGGGCAGUAAGUUAAUACCUUGCUGUUUUGACGUUACCAACAGAAUAAGCACCGGCUAACUUCGUG